CUUAUUAACCUUUUUUUGUUUUUUAUUUAUUGUGAAAAGAACAAAUUUUCUGAUACACCAGUUUUUCUUUAAACCCUCAUAGGCAGUGAGGCCAGGACAGCCUCAAAAAUAAAAAAUAAAAAGCUCAAUUUCCAGUCAGCACGGCUGUCAGUGAUACGGGUUGGGGGUUCAUAACUGUACAUUCCUAAAACAUGACAAAAAUGGGGCUGGGUCAGACGAAAAAAUCUUUUCCGUCAUGAACUGGAUUUUCCCAGAGUAGCAUCAGUUUCCGUUAACACUUUACAUGGUGUUCAAGUCAGCUACAAAAAGUGCACAGAGUUGUUCAACAAUGCAGACUGUUGGUUUCGUAACUGAGGUAUAUCCAGCGUUUGCCAUAGAAAGCUGACGUGGUGGAGUCAAAGGGACUAUAGUAUAGGAUGGCAGACAUAUCAUCAGAGUGACAAUGCAACUCCUCAUGGCAGCUUGGUUCGAAACUUGGCCUGAAGUCUCCCCUGGAUGUACAGUAUAUCACUAUUUCCCUUCACCUAGUGUCUAACAGUUCCUAUACGAAUGUACCGAUAUCACAAUCAUAACAACAUGGUGGAAGAUGGUCUGUAACAAUGCAAUACCUGUUUUUUUUUCACAUUUUUUUUCAAUACAGCCACAUGUGCCCUGUACAUGUGUUUAGAAAUGUUACAUAUCUGAGGACAACUAUGUAUGAGGCUUGUAAACAUACAUGGAGGUGGAACAUGUCAAGCAGCAGUCAAGAGGGGUAUUUCACGUACACCGGCCUUACAAAUGCCAAAAGAAACGUGGUCCUACUUUUUACAAAAACAAAGGGGAGGCAAUGAGGGGGGGAA